rnacentral:rRNA from 1 species
UACGUAGGGGCUAGCGUUGUCCGGAAUCAUUGGGCGUAAAGCGCGUGUAGGCGGUCCGGUAAGUCCGCUGUGAAAGUCGAGGGCUCAACCCUCGAAUGCCGGUGGAUACUGUCGGGCUUGAGUACGGGAGAGGCGAGUGGAAUUCCUGGUGUAGCGGUGAAAUGCGUAGAGAUCCGGAGGAACCCAGAGGCGAAGGCGGCAUCCUGGCCCACGACUGACACUCAGACACGACAGCAUGGGAGCGAACGGG